AACGAACGCUGGCGGCAGGCCUAACACAUGCAAGUCGAACGCCCUAGCAAUAGGGAGUGGCAGACGGGUGAGUAACACGUGGGAACCUUCCCUAUAGUACGGAAUAGCUCAGGGAAACUUGAAGUAAUACCGUAUACGCCCGAGAGGGGAAAGAUUUAUCGCUAUAGGAUGGGCCCGCGUCGGAUUAGCUAGUUGGUGAGGUAAUGGCUCACCAAGGCGACGAUCCGUAGCUGGUUUGAGAGAACGACCAGCCACACUGGGACUGAGACACGGCCCAGACUCCUACGGGAGGCAGCAGUGGGGAAUAUUGGACAAUGGGCGCAAGCCUGAUCCAGCCAUGCCGCGUGAGUGAUGAAGGCCUUAGGGUUGUAAAGCUCUUUUAGCAGGGAAGAUAAUGACUGUACCUGCAGAAUAAGCUCCGGCUAACUUCGUGCCAGCAGCCGCGGU
rnacentral:rRNA from 1 species